CUUUUCGGACUCAGCCCACUUGCACCCAAGUGAAUAAACAGUGUUAUUGCCCACACAAAGCCUGUCUGUUGGUCUCUUCACAUAGAUGUGCUUGACAUUUGGUGCCAUGACUCAGAUCGGGGGACCUCCCUUGGGAGAUCAAUCCCCUGUCCUCCUGCUACAUUUGGUGCCGUGACUUGGAUCAGGGGACCUCCCUCGGGAGAUCAAUCCCCUGUCUUCCUGCUCUUUGCUCUGUGAGAAAAUCCACCUAUGACGUCAGGUUCUCAGACCAGCCCAAGAAACACCUCACCAAUUUUAAAUUGGAGAGAUAGCAGAAACGUGUUUUUUCCAUGGAUCCAAAAUGCUGGUGGCACUGGUCAUGGACUCAGGAAGACAGUCUUCCCUUGGUGUCUAAUCACCGCGGGGACACCUGCCUGAUUAUUCACCCGCAUUCCAGAGGUGUUCGAUCACCAUGGGGACACCUGCCUUGAUCCUCCACCUUGGUGGGACCCACUGGAAAUCAGACUGCCCAGAUCACCCGGCAACCACUCCCAGAACCCCUAAAGCUCUGGCCCAAGGAUCUCUGACUGACUCCUUCCCAGAUCUGCUUGGCUUAGUGACUGAAGACUGACACUGCCCAAUUGCCUUGGAAAACCCCUGGACCGUCACAGAUGCUGAGCUUCGGGUAACUCUCACAGUGGAGGCUUUAUAUUUUAUAAAUAAAAAGACAGGAAUGUCAGGCCUCUGAGCUGAAACUCAGCCAUUAUAACUUCUGUGACCUGCACAUACACAUCCAGGUGGCCUGCAGGAGCCAAGAAGUCUGGAGCAGCCAAAAAAUCACAAAGAUGUAAAACAACCAGUUCCUGCCUUAACUGAUUAACCAAAAUUACAACAUUUUACCAUUGUGACUUGUCCCUGCCCUACCUUAGCUGAUCAAUCAACUUUGCAACAUUCUUCUUUUGGACAAUGAGUCUUAUGAUCUCCCCACCAUGUACCUUGUGACCCCCCCUCUGCUAACAAUAGAUAACCACCUUUUACUGUAAUUUUCCAUUACCUACCCAACUCCUAUAAAGCAAACCCUUCCCCAUCUCCCUUCACUGACUCUCUUUUCAGACUGAGCCCACUUGCACCCAAGUGAAUAAACAGUCUUAUUGCUCACACAAAGCCUGUUUGUUGGUCUCUUCACAUGGACGCGCUUGACAUAGGUUGCUGGGUACAUAGCACUGAGCAACCGGUACUUUAGUUAAAUGUCAGAGUCAGGGUUAAGAUCAAUAAAAGUUACAAUACAGUAACACUUGCCUAGACACAGUGGGAAAUCUUGUUUAUGAUGAUUUCCAGAUGAGAA
rnacentral:lncRNA from 1 species